AGAAGGUCCUUCAUCACAGGUACACAAAGGCAUUGCAACAGAGGGAAAUGGACUACAAGUCACAGGACAGAAAAGAUCUGAAGACACUGAAGCAACACGAUUCUUUCUAAUUUCAUGUGCGCUAGGCGGUGUUGAUCGUUCUUGGUCGCGAGAAUGAAGCAUGCAUGGUGUGCAUAAGCUAAGGGAUAGAUGUAACUUAAUUUCCUUUGCAGGAGAUCCUGGGAGUUUUACAAAUGAAACAAUCCCAUGUCGGCAAAGUGGACAUGGAAUGGAUCCAGGCGGACCCAAUAAUUCAGAUGGGACGUUGCUUGCCGAGCAAAGAUAGAGAG
rnacentral:misc_RNA from 1 species